UAGGGCAUGAGACAUGUUGAGCCUUGUGCAA
rnacentral:piRNA from 1 species